GCUGGGCAUGGUGGGCAUGCCUGUAAUCCCAGUUACUCAGGAGGCUGAGGCAGGAGAAUCACUUGAACCCGGGAGGCAGAGGCUGCAGUGAGCCAAGAUCACACCACUGCAUUCCAGCCUGGGUGACAGAGUGAGACUCUGUCUCAA
rnacentral:SRP_RNA from 1 species